rnacentral:rRNA from 1 species
UAAUACCCCAUAGGUCACCUAUGCUGGAAUGCUUGGUGACUGAAAGUUCCGGCGGCACAGGAUGUUUCUGCGGCCUAUCAGGUAGUAGUCAGGGUAAUGACCUGACUAGCCUACGACGGGUACGGGCGUUGAGAGACGUUGCCCGGAGAUGGACUCUGAGACACGAGUCCAGGCCCUACGGGGCGCAGCAGGCGCGAAAACUUCGCAAUGUGGGAAACCACGACGAGGGAACUCCAAGUGCCAGCACACAGUGUUGGCUGUUUUCAAGCCUAAAAAGCUUGAAGAGUAAGGGCUGGGUAAGACGGGUGCCAGCCGCCGCGGUAAUACCUGCAGCUCGAGUGGUGGUCGCUUUUAUUGGGCCUAAAACGUCCGUAGCCUGUCAUGUAAAUGCUUGGGUAAAUCGAAGGGCUUAACUCUUCGAAUUCCGGGUAGACUGCAUGACUAGGGACCGGGAGAGGUUAGAGGUACUCCGGGGGUAGAGGUGAAAUUCUGUAAUCCUCGGGGGACCACCAGUGGCGAAGGCGUCUAACUAGAACGGGUCCGACGGUGAGGGACGAAGCCCUGGGGCGCAAACGGGAUUAGAUACCCCGGUAGUCCAGGGUGUAAACGCUGCGCGCUUGGUGUUGGGGCGGCCACGAGCCGGCCCAGUGCCGGAGAGAAGUUGUUAAGCGCGCUGCCUGGGGAGUACGGUCGCAAGACUGAAACUUAAAGGAAUUGGCGGGGGAGCACUGCAACGGGUGGAGCGUGCGGUUUAAUUGGAUUCAACGCCGGAAAACUCACCAGGAGCGACUACCGCAUGAGACUCAGCUGAUGGUCUUAGUCGAUAAUCAGUAGAGAGGUGGUGCAUGGCCGUCGUCAGUUCGUACCGUAAAGGCGUUCUGUUAA